GGUGGUCCCUUAGAAGUGGAAAAGCCAGAAGAAAAGGGGUGGUCUGUUACUUCAGAAAAGAAAAAGUGUGAACUAAAAGGAAACUUUCCCUGAAAAAGUUAAGAGACUCCAUCAUGUCAACGCUCUCGGCAGAGACGGGCCCCUGAGGAUGCCAACAAUCAGAGCUUCUGGAUGCCAGGGAACUACCACCAGACAGUGAAGAGGACCGAAGAUGCGUUCCAGGCGUGCAAUGAUAUAGUGGCGUGUUUCCAGGAGAGGGCCAGGGUCGAGAGACAGUACGCACAGCAACUUAGUGAGUGGAGUACCAA